UACGUAGGGAGCAAGCGUUGUCCGGAAUCAUUGGGCGUAAAGCGCGCGUAGGCGGCCUUGUAAGUCCGUUGUGAAAGUCAAAGGCUCAACCUUUGAAAGCCGAUGGAUACUGCAAGGCUAGAGUCCGGAAGAGGAGAGUGGAAUUCCUGGUGUAGCGGUGAAAUGCGCAGAUAUCAGGAAGAACACCCGUGGCGAAGGCGGUUCUCUGGGACGGUACUGACGCUGAGACGCGAAAGCGUGGGGAGCAAACAGG
rnacentral:rRNA from 1 species